rnacentral:tRNA from 1 species
GGAGAGAUGCCGGAGUGGUUGAACGGGCCACGCCUGGAGAGCGUGUAUACCGUGAAAACGGUAUCGGGGGUUCGAAUCCCCCUCUCUCCG